CAAUAGCGUAUAUUAAAGUUGUUGCAGUUAAAAAGCUCGUAGUUGGAUUUCGGGGCAGCCUGGCUGGUCCGCCGCAAGGCGAGUACUGGUCAGCCGCCCUUCCUCUCGAAAGCCCCGACUGCUCUUUAUUGCAGUGGUCGGGUAGUUCGGGACGUUUACUUUGAAAAAAUUAGAGUGUUCAAGGCAGGCCUACGCCUGAAUACAUUAGCAUGGAAUAAUGGAAGAGGUCCUCGGUCCUAUUUUGUUGGUUUCCAGGACCGAAGUAAUGAUUAAGAGGGACAGUUGGGGGCAUUCGUAUUUAAUUGUCAGAGGUGAAAUUCUCGGAUUUAUGAAAGACGAACAACUGCGAAAGCAUUUGCCAAGGAUGUUUUCAUUAA
rnacentral:rRNA from 1 species